AGAGUUUGAUCUGGCUCAGGACGAACGCUGGCGGCGUGCCUAAUACAUGCAAGUCGAGCGGACCGACGGGAGCUUGCUCCCUUAGGUCAGCAGCGGACGGGUGAGUAACACGUGGGUAACCUGCCUGUAAGACUGGGAUAACUCCGGGAAACCGGGGCUAAUACCGGAUGCUUGAUUGAACCGCAUGGUUCAAUCAUAAAAGGUGGCUUUUAGCUACCACUUACAGAUGGACCCGCGGCGCAUUAGCUAGUUGGUGAGGUAACGGCUCACCAAGGCGACGAUGCGUAGCCGACCUGAGAGGGUGAUCGGCCACACUGGGGCUGAGACACGGCCCAGACUCCUACGGGAGGCAGCAGUAGGGAAUCUUCCGCAAUGGACGAAAGUCUGACGGAGCAACGCCGCGUGAGUGAUGAAGGUUUUCGGAUCGUAAAACUCUGUUGUUAGGGAAGAACAAGUACCGUUCGAAUAGGGCGGUACCUUGACGGUACCUAACCAGAAAGCCACGGCUAACUACGUGCCAGCAGCCGCGGUAAUACGUAGGUGGCAAGCGUUGUCCGGAAUUAUUGGGCGUAAAGCGCGCGCAGGCGGUUUCUUAAGUCUGAUGUGAAAGCCCCCGGCUCAACCGGGGAGGGUCAUUGGAAACUGGGGAACUUGAGUGCAGAAGAGGAGAGUGGAAUUCCACGUGUAGCGGUGAAAUGCGUAGAGAUGUGGAGGAACACCAGUGGCGAAGGCGACUCUCUGGUCUGUAACUGACGCUGAGGCGCGAAAGCGUGGGGAGCGAACAGGAUUAGAUACCCUGGUAGUCCACGCCGUAAACGAUGAGUGCUAAGUGUUAGAGGGUUUCCGCCCUUUAGUGCUGCAGCAAACGCAUUAAGCACUCCGCCUGGGGAGUACGGUCGCAAGACUGAAACUCAAAGGAAUUGACGGGGGCCCGCACAAGCGGUGGAGCAUGUGGUUUAAUUCGAAGCAACGCGAAGAACCUUACCAGGUCUUGACAUCCUCUGACAACCCUAGAGAUAGGGCUUCCCCUUCGGGGGCAGAGUGACAGGUGGUGCAUGGUUGUCGUCAGCUCGUGUCGUGAGAUGUUGGGUUAAGUCCCGCAACGAGCGCAACCCUUGAUCUUAGUUGCCAGCAUUCAGUUGGGCACUCUAAGGUGACUGCCGGUGACAAACCGGAGGAAGGUGGGGAUGACGUCAAAUCAUCAUGCCCCUUAUGACCUGGGCUACACACGUGCUACAAUGGGCAGAACAAAGGGCAGCGAAGCCGCGAGGCUAAGCCAAUCCCACAAAUCUGUUCUCAGUUCGGAUCGCAGUCUGCAACUCGACUGCGUGAAGCUGGAAUCGCUAGUAAUCGCGGAUCAGCAUGCCGCGGUGAAUACGUUCCCGGGCCUUGUACACACCGCCCGUCACAC
rnacentral:rRNA from 1 species